AAUAGCUCAAAUUUGAAAGCUGGCGUCUUCGACGUCCGCGUUGUAAUUUGUAGAGGAUGUUUCGGCGAGGGCUCCUGCCUAAGUUCCCUGGAAUGGGACGUCACAGAGGGUGAGAAUCCCGUAUGUGGCGGGCGGCCUUAGCCAUGUGAAACUCCUUCGACGAGUCGAGUUGUUUGGGAAUGCAGCUCUAAAUGGGAGGUAAAUUUCUUCUAAAGCUAAAUACCGGCCAGAGACCGAUAGCGCACAAGUAGAGUGAUCGAAAGAUGAAAAGCACUUUGGAAAGAGAGUUAAAAAGUACGUGAAAUUGUUGAAAGGGAAGCGCUUGCAACCAGACUCGUUCGCAGUUGCUCAGCCCGCCUCUUGGUGGGUGUACUCUUCUGCGGUCGGGCCAGCAUCAGUCCGGGCGGUCGGAUAAAGGUGUCGGGAAUGUAGCACCCUUCGGGGUGUGUUAUAGCCCGGCGCGGAAUGCGGCCAGCCUGGACUGAGGAUCUCGCUUCGGCAAGGAUGCUGGCGUAAUGGUUGUAAGCGGCCCGUCUUGAAACACGGACCAAGGAGUCUAACAUCUAUGCGAGUGUUUGGGUGUCAAACCCAUGCGCGUAAUGAAAGUGAACGGAGGUGGGAACCCGUAAGGGUGCACCAUCGACCGAUCCUGAUGUCUUCGGAUGGAUUUGAGUAAGAGCAUAGCUGUUGGGACCCGAAAGAUGGUGAACUAUGCCUGAAUAGGGUGAAGCCAGAGGAAACUCUGGUGGAGGCUCGCAGCGGUUCUGACGUGCAAAUCGAUCGUCAAAUUUGGGUAUAGGGGCGAAAGACUAAUCG
rnacentral:rRNA from 1 species